GAUCGAUCACUGAUCAAUUGUGUAAUCCCGUGAGUGCAGCUCCAAACACCUUGCGCAUCCCUACCCUACCAAUGGGUUUGCGCGUUAUUACCAGAUAAAUUUCUGGAGCUUCAGUAUCCAGAAACCAGAAUUAAACACACUAGUACGCGGCAAAUGCAGUGGGCAAAUUUUAAUGCUCCAUGGGGGUUAGCUCAUCUGCGCCUAGUUUGAUUCGCGUGCUGAUGUCAGACCAAAUCACAUCAGAAUAAUGCAUAGAAUCCAAAAUCCUAAUGCCCUCGCGCAAGACAAAGACUGACCUGACCCCCCAUUUUGUAGAAGCACUAGCAAAUAAGCAAAGGAUAUCCCAGGCGAGGUGAGCAGGGGGGGGGGGGGGGGCACAGAUUUGAUUGACUCGGCAUUCCGACCGUCGGCUCGGCUGGUCGUUAUGUCAGCGAAGCGAGGGAAGGAAGGAAAGCGCGCCGCGAACACAGGUCCCGCCGGUUAAGCUUGGCUCCCGACAUCGCCUCCUCAGAUACUGAAACCAUCCCUGGUUCGCAUCGCAUCUGGAUGGACCGCACUGAUGUGUUCCUGUUCACCGACGGAGAAGAAUUCGCCCGCCGUGCUUUGCUUUGCUUGUGAUUGCGAUGGCUUUGUUUGCUCGCCGACACUUUUGUGUACGUACGUG
rnacentral:lncRNA from 7 species